rnacentral:rRNA from 1 species
UCUGGUGAUUUUACGGACAAGGAAACGCCUGAUCCCAUUCCGAACUCAGAAGCUAAGCUUGUUUCGGCCGAUGGUAGUCCGUAAGGGCGAGAGUAGGUGAUCGCCAGGG